rnacentral:rRNA from 1 species
AUGCUUAACACAUGCAAGUCGAACGGUAACAGAUAAGAUGAUCUCUUCGGAGUGAAUCUUUGCUGACGAGUGGCGGACGGGUGAGUAAUGCUUGGGAAUCUGCCCAAUAGUGGGGGAAAACUCGGGGAAACCCGGGCUAAUACCGCAUAAUCUCUACGGAGGAAAGAGGGCCUCUACAUGUAAGCUCUCGCUAAUGGAUGAGCCCAAGUCAGAUUAGCUAGUUGGUAAGGUAAUGGCUUACCAAGGCUACGAUCUGUAGCUGGUCUGAGAGGAUGAUCAGCCACACUGGGACUGAGACACGGCCCAGACUCCUACGGGAGGCAGCAGUGGGGAAUAUUGCACAAUGGGCGCAAGCCUGAUGCAGCAAUGCCGCGUGUGUGAAGAAGGCUCUAGGGUUGUAAAGCACUUUCAAUAGAGAAGAAAAGCUUGAAAUUAAUACUUUCAAGCCUUGACGUAAUCUAUACAAGAAGCACCGGCUAAUUCCGUGCCAGCAGCCGCGGUAAUACGGGAGGUGCGAGCGUUAAUCGGAAUUACUGGGCGUAAAGCGAGCGUAGGCUGUUAAUUAAGUCGAAUGUGAAAUCCCCGGGCUCAACCUGGGAACUGCAUUCGAAACUAUUUAACUAGAGUAUGGGAGAGGAAAGUAGAAUUUCCGGUGUAGCGGUGAAAUGCGUAGAUAUCUGAAGGAACACCAGUGG